UUAGGGUUGGGCUUGGAGCUAGGAUUUUUCUGAGUGCAAUGAACCAACUCCCGAGUCUCUAGGACGUUCCUAAAAAAUUUUGAUUUUUUCCCAUAGGAAUGCAUGGGUUAGGGUUAGGGUUAGGGUUGGAGCUAGGGUUAGGGUUAGGGUUAGGGUUGGAGUUAGGGUUAGUGUUGGAGCUAGGGUUAGGGUUGGGCUUGGAGCUAGGAUUUUUCUGAGUGCAAUGAACCAACUCCUGAGUCUCUAGGACGUUCCUAAAAAAAAUUUAUUUUUUCCCAUAGGAAUGCAUGGGUUAGGGUUAGGGUUAGGGUUGGAGCUGGGGUUAGGGUUAGGGUUGGAGUUAGGGUUAGGGUUAGGGUUAAGGUUGGAGCUAGGGUUAGGGUUAGGGUUAGGAUUAGGGUGGAGCAAGGGUUAGGGUUAGGGUUAGAGCUAGGGUUAGGGUUGGGGCUAGGGUUAGGGUUAGGGUUAAGGUUGGAGCUAGGGUUAGGGUUAAGGUUAGGGUUGGAGCUAGGGUUAGGGUUAGGGUUAGGGUUGGAGCAAGGGUUAGGGUUAGGGUAAGGGUUGGAGUUAGGGUUAGGGUUAGGGUUAAGGUUGGAGCUAGGGUUACAGUUAGGGUUAGGGUUAGGGUGGAGCUAGGGUUAGGGUUAGGGUUAAGGUUGGAGUUAGGGUUAGUGUUGGAGCUAGGGUUAGGGUUGGGCUUGGAGCUAGGAUUUUUCUGAGUGCAAUGAACCAACUCCCGAGUCUCUAGGACGUUCCUAAAAAAAUUUGAUUUUUUCCCAUAGGAAUGCAUGGGUUAGGGUUAGGGUUAGGGUUGGAGCUAGGGUUAGGGUUAGGGUUAGGGUUGGAGUUAGGGUUAGUGUUGGAGCUAGGGUUAGGGUUGGGCUUGGAGCUAGGAUUUUUCUGAGUGCAAUGAACCAACUCCUGAGUCUCUAGGACGUUCCUAAAAAAAUUUGAUUUUUCCCCAUAGGAAUGCAUGGGUUAGGGUUAGGGUUAGGGUUGGAGCUGGGGUUAGGGUUAGGGUUGGAGUUAGGGUUAGGGUUAGGGUUAAGGUUGGAGCUAGGGUUAGGGUUAGGGUUAGGAUUAGGGUGGAGCUAGGGUUAGGGUUAGGGUUAGAGCUAGGGUUAGGGUUGGGGCUAGGGUUAGGGUUAGGGUUAGGGUUAAGGUUGGAGCUAGGGUUAGGGUUAAGGUUAGGGUUGGAGCUAGGGUUAGGGUUAGGGUUAGGGUUAGGGUUGGAGCAAGGGUUAGGGUUAGGGUAAGGGUUGGAGUUAGGGUUAGGGUUAGGGUUAAGGUUGGAGCUAGGGUUAGGGUUAGGGUUAAGGUUGGAGCUAGGGUUAGGAUUAGGGUGGAGCUAGGGUUAGGGUUAGGAUUAGGGUUAGGGUUAGGGUUGGGGCUAGGGUUAGGGUUAGGGUUAGGGUUAAGGUUGGAGCUAGGGUUAGGGUUAGGGUUAGGGUUGGAGCUAGGGUUAGGGUUAGGGUUAGGGUUGGAGCUAGGGUUAGGGUUAGGGUUGGAGCUAGGGUUAGGGUUAGGGUUAGGGUUGGAGUUAGGGUUAGUGUUGGAGCUAGGGUUAGGGUUGGGCUUGGAGCUAGGAUUUUUCUGAGUGCAAUGAACCAACUCCUGAGUCUCUAGGACGUUCCUAAAAAAAUUUGAUUUUUUCCCAUAGGAAUGCAUGGGUUAGGGUUAGGGUUAGGGUUGGAGCUAGGGUUAGGGUUAGGGUUUGGGUUGGAGUUAGGGUUAGUGUUGGAGCUAGGGUUAGGGUUGGGCUUGGAGCUAGGAUUUUUCUGAGUGCAAUGAACCAACUCCCGAGUCUCUAGGACGUUCCUAAAAAAAUUUGAUUUUUUCCCAUAGGAAUGCAUGGGUUAGGGUUAGGGUUAGGGUUGGAGCUAGGGUUAGGGUUAGGGUUAGGGUUGGAGUUAGGGUUAGUUUUGGAGCUAGGGUUAGGGUUGGGCUUGGAGCUAGGAUUUUUCUGAGUGCAAUGAACCAACUCCCGAGUCUCUAGGACGUUCCUAAAAAAAUUUGAUUUUUUCCCAUAGGAAUGCAUGGGUUAGGGUUAGGGUUAGGGUUGGAGCUAGGGUUAGGGUUAGGGUUGGAGUUAGGGUUAGUGUUGGAGCUAGGGUUAGGGUUGGGCUUGGAGCUAGGGUUAGGGUUAGGGUUAGGGUUAGGGUUGGAGCUAGGGUUAGGGUUAGGGUUGGAGCAAGGGUUAGGGUUAGGGUAAGGGUUGGAGUUAGGGUUAGGGUUAGGGUUAAGGUUGGAGCUAGGGUUACAGUUAGGGUUAGGGUUAGGGUGGAGCUAGGGUUAGGGUUAGGGUUAAGGUUGGAGCUAGGGUUAGGGUUAGGGUGAGGAUUAGGGUGGAGCUAGGAUUAGGGUUAGGAUUAGAGCUAGGGUUAGGGUUGGGGCUAGGGUUAGGGUUAGGGUUAAGGUUGGAGCUAGGGUUAGGGUUAGGGUUAGGGUUGGAGCUAGGGUUAGGGUUAGGGUUAGGGUUGGAGCUAGGGUUAGGGUUAGGGUUAGGGUUGGCGCUAGGGUUAGGGUUAGGGUUAGGGUUGGAGUUAGGGUUAGUGUUGGAGCUAGGGUUAGGGUUGGGCUUGGAGCUAGGAUUUUUCUGAGUGCAAUGAACCAACUCCCGAGUCUCUAGGACGUUCCUAAAAAAAUUUGAUUUUUUCCCAUAGGAAUGCAUGGGUUAGGGUUAGGGUUAGGGUUGGAGCUAGGGUUAGGGUUAGGGUUAGGGUUGGAGUUAGGGUUAGUGUUGGAGCUAGGGUUAGGGUUGGGCUUGGAGCUAGGAUUUUUCUGAGUGUAAUGAACCAACUCCUGAGUCUCUAGGACGUUCCUAAAAAAAAUUGAUUUUUUCCCAUAGGAAUGCAUGGGUUAGGGUUAGGGUUAGGGUUAGGGUUGGAGCUAGGGUUAGGGUUAGGGUUAGGGUUGGAGUUAGGGUUAGUGUUGGAGCUAGGGUUAGGGUUGGGCUUGGAGCUAGGAUUUUUCUGAGUGUAAUGAACCAACUCCUGAGUCUCUAGGACGUUCCUAAAAAAAUUUGAUUUUUUCCCAUAGGAAUGCAUGGGUUAGGGUUAGGGUUAGGGUUAGGGUUUGAGCUAGGGUUAGGGUUAGGGUUAGGGUUGGAGUUAGGGUUAGUGUUGGAGCUAGGGUUAGGGUUGGGCUUGGAGCUAGGAUUUUUCUGAGUGCAAUGAACCAACUCCCGAGUCUCUAGGACGUUCCUAAAAAAAUUUGAUUUUUUCCCAUAGGAAUGCAUGGGUUAGGGUUAGGGUUAGGGUUGGAGCUAGGGUUAGGGUUAGGGUUAGGGUUGGAGUUAGGGUUAUUGUUGGAGCUAGGGUUAGGGUUGGGCUUGGAGCUAGGAUUUUUCUGAGUGUAAUGAACCAACUCCUGAGUCUCUAGGACGUUCCUAAAAAAAUUUGAUUUUUUUCCCAUAGGAAUGCAUUGGUUAGGGUUAGGGUUAGGGUUGGAGCUAGGGUUAGGGUUAGGGUUAGGGUUGGAGUUAGGGUUAGUGUUGGAGCUAGGGUUAGGGUUGGGCUUGGAGCUAGGAUUUUUCUGAGUGUAAUGAACCAACUCCUGAGUCUCUAGGACGUUCCUAAAAAAUUUUGAUUUUUUCCCAUAGGAAUGCAUGGGUUAGGGUUAGGGUUAGGGUUGGAGCUAGGGUUAGGGUUAGGGUUAGGGUUGGAGUUAGGGUUAGUGUUGGAGCUAGGGUUAGGGUUGGGCUUGGAGCUAGUAUUUUUCUGAGUGUAAUGAACCAACUCCUGAGUCUCUAGGACGUUCCUAAAAAAAUUUGAUUUUUUCCCAUAGGAAUGCAUGGGUUAGGGUUAGGGUUAGGGUUGGAGCUAGGGUUAGGGUUAGGGUUAGGGUUGGAGUUAGGGUUAGUGUUGGAGCUAGGGUUAGGGUUGGGCUUGGAGCUAGGAUUUUUCUGAGUGCAAUGAACCAACUCCCGAGUCUCUAGGACGUUCCUAAAAAAAGUUUGAUUUUUUUCCCAUAGGAAUGCAUGGGUUAGGGUUAGGGUUAGGGUUGGAGCUAGGGUUAGGGUUAGGGUUAGGGUUGGAGUUAGGGUUAGUGUUGGAGCUAGGGUUAGGGUUGGGCUUGGAGCUAGGAUUUUUCUGAGUGUAAUGAGCCAACUCCUGAGUCUCUAGGACGUUCCUA